AGUGAACGCUGGCGGUAGGCCUAACACAUGCAAGUCGAACGGCAGCACAGAGGAGCUUGCUCCUUGGGUGGCGAGUGGCGGACGGGUGAGGAAUACAUCGGAAUCUACUCUUUCGUGGGGGAUAACGUAGGGAAACUUACGCUAAUACCGCAUACGCCCUUCGGGGGAAAGCAGGGGAUCGCAAGACCUUGCGCGAUUGAAUGAGCCGAUGUCGGAUUAGCUAGUUGGCGGGGUAACGGCCCACCAAGGCGACGAUCCGUAGCUGGUCUGAGAGGAUGAUCAGCCACACUGGAACUGAGACACGGUCCAGACUCCUACGGGAGGCAGCAGUGGGGAAUAUUGGACAAUGGGCGCAAGCCUGAUCCAGCCAUACCGCGUGGGUGAAGAAGGCCUUCGGGUUGUAAAGCCCUUUUGUUGGGAAAGAAAAGCAUUCGGUUAAUACCCGAGUGUUCUGACGGUACCCAAAGAAUAAGCACCGGCUAACUUCGUGCCAGCAGCCGCGGUAACAC
rnacentral:rRNA from 1 species